rnacentral:misc_RNA from 1 species
AGUUGAUGGUGAAGUUUGGAGAAUUGUAUGGAUCGUCUAUGCGUUUAAAAUGUAAGAUGCCGACAGAGGAUUUGGAUGUUUUGGUAUCGAUUACCUGUGACGAAGACCUGGCUAAUGUGAUUGAAGAGUACGAUCGAGUUUCAGCAAUGACGAAUACAGAGAUGAAGAUUAGGGCGUUAUUAUCUCCAAUAAAUUUGCCGAAAAAGGACUCUCGUCCGUCUUCGCCAAUGUCUUGCUUUGAUUUUGCUGCGUCGAGCUUGAAGCCCGGAAAAUUCGUCCAGUUCAAUUCGCCUCCGUCGUAUGCGGCGGCGCGUAGACUGUUCUCACCAGUUGUGGGUUACCCGACCGGGAGACGAACAGACGGCGAGGAGCUUUACUAUCCGUACUGUGGACAGGCAGGCGUCAAGCCUCUGUAUAACGUUGUUCCUAUCCAUUGCCAAUAGAAAAAAGAUACCCGAGAGGUAGAGGUAGUUACAGUAUUGCCGGAGAGUUGUUUACAUAGAUGAAACGAAUCUCCUUCCCACCCACAAAAAAGGGUCAGAUAAACAAAAUAUUCAUCAUCACAUCAAAUAACAAAAAGACUCAUUCAAUAUAAUAUUUUGAUGCUUGAUUCAAAUUGUAUAUUGCUUGAGAUUAUUGCUUAUUCAAUUGUGAGCUCGAUUUAGGAUUCGAGCUGAUAUAUUGUUAUCUAAAUUCUAUGAUUGGCGUUUUGUUGCUCUGGGUUGUCUAUAUGGCACAAUCCCUCCAUCGUUGAGCUUUACCCAUGGUGAGCAAGUGGUAAGAUCUGAGUACAUCUAUUAUAGUUAUUCACUUGUUCUUGUUUUCUUGAGUGUUAAAACUUAGAACGAAGGGUGAAGAUAUAUACUUCAUUU